rnacentral:lncRNA from 1 species
UACGAAUUUCUACGAAUUUCUACGAAUUUCUACAAAUUUCUACGAAUUUCUACAAAUUUCUAUGAAUUUCUACAAAUUUCUACGAAUUUCUAGCAAUAACCACAUGUGGUGCCUAGGUUGUGACGGCGGCGGUCAGGGCGGCGGUACGGCGGAGGCGGGGACGGUUCCCCGAAACCACGGGCGGUGCCUAGCUAGGUUGUGAUGGCGGCGGUCAGGGCGGCGGUACGGCGGAGGCAGGGACGGUUCCCCGGAACCACGGGCGGUGCCUACUAGGUUGUGACGGCGGCGGUCACGGCGGCGGGACGGCAGAGGGGACACAUAUACAAAAAUCUAACUUAAAAAAAAUCUAACUUAAAAAAAGUCUAACUUAAAAAUCUAACUUAAAAAUAUAACUUAAAAAUAUAACUUAAUUUUCUAACUUAACAAUCUAACUUAAAAAUCUAUCAUAAAAAUAUAACUUAAUUUUCUAACUUAAAAAAAAG